UACGGAGGGUGCAAGCAUUAAUCGGAUUUAUUGGGCGUAAAGGGCGCGUAGGCGGGUACGUAAGUCAGAUGUGAAAUCCCGGAGCUCAACUCCGGAACAGCAUUUGAAACUGCGUGUCUAGAGGGUAGACGGAGAAAGUAGAAUUCCACAAGUAGCGGUGAAAUGCGUAGAUAUGUGGAAGAAUACCAGUGGCGAAGGCGACUUUCUAGUUUACAUCUGACGCUGAGGCGCGAAAGCAAGGGGAUCAAACAGG
rnacentral:rRNA from 1 species